GAUGAAGAACGUAGCGAAAUGCGAUAAGUAAUGUGAAUUGCAGAAUUCAGUGAAUCAUCGAAUCUUUGAACGCACCUUGCACCCUUUGGCAUUCCGAAGGGUAUGCUCGUUUGAGUGUCAUUGUACUCUCACUCUCCCGAUGCUUUUGGAUCGGGAGUGGUGGACUUGGGUGUUGCUGCUUUGCUGUGGCUCGCCUCAAAUGGGGUAGUGCAACUCUUGGUUGGACAUAGUACGGCGUGAUAAGUGUCUUCGCCGGCGCCUCAUUAUAGAGGGUGGCCGAUCGGGAGCUCUGUGCUUCAAACCGUCUUCGGACAACAUCUGACAACUUGACCUCAAAUCGAGUAGGACUACCCGCUGAACUUAAGCAUAUCAAUAAGCGGAGGA
rnacentral:misc_RNA from 1 species